rnacentral:rRNA from 1 species
CGCGGUGAAUACGUUCCCGGGCCUUGUACACACCGCCCGUCAAGCCAUGGAAGCUGGGUGUACCUAAAGUCGGUAACCGUAAGGAGCCGCCUAGGGUAAAACUGGUGACUGGGGCU